CUGUCGGAAUAUCUGAGAUGAAGCUGAUAGUUAUAAUCAUAUUCAUUCCGAUACAAAAUAAUCCAGACCUGCUUGGAAUAUCCAAUAUAUAGAACGGCACAGACUUCAUCAGCAACCACGACAAACAGGACGCGGUCUCCCUGGAGCUAUAAGGAUGUGCAAGAGCUCAGCGUUAGGUGGAGACUGUUACAGUUGAUGAAAGUACAGAGGCCUAGACCAACCUUGCCACGCAAUACAUUGCUGUCUACGGCCGUUUCCAUCGGUGAUUAAUUUGAGAUGAGGAGUGGACAGACUGCAUGGUGAAAGUUUUAAGAUAUCACAGGCACCUGAAAAGACCGGUCAACGGAAUGGUUACGGCACGAAGGACCCAUAACUGAAUGUGUUCCUGUAAAGAAUUGUCAGUAGAUACCCGAGCUCUGAGUCCUUUAUGUCACGAGAUGAAGGGUUAAUCACUGACUGUGUUCCUGUACAGGAUUAUCGGUACUGACGCCUUUAGUGCCACGUGUCUCAAUAUGAAGGGCCCUUCAAUGAUUGUGAUCCAGGAACGGAUUAUCAGAGGGCGGUGACCUGCAUCGAGAAAGUAAGAAAAAGAGGUACCAAAGAAGGUGUUUAACAAGCACAAGUAGAGAAAUAGGGCCCCCAGUUGUCACAUUCUCUGGUCAACCAAGCCCACAUAGAUUCUCCCAUUUACAUAUUCAAGUUGAAAAUGGGUAUUCUCCGAGUGAUUCUGAAAACUAAAGUGACAAGGGUAGCAGUUGCUGUCAUCUGUGCACAGAUCAUCUUCCUCCUGAUCCUUCUGCUCAGGACGACCAGUACAUCGUUCAGAACGUCUUUGAAAGUUCCUGUCAAUGGUACAAACAACGCUCCAUUGUUAACAUAUAAUGUGAACUCGUUGAACAAAAACAUACGAUUGGGUACGUCAAAAUCGAUGUCGACCAGUGCAUCUUUGAAAGUUACUGGCAAUGAUACAAGCGUUGCUUCAUUGUUAAG